AUUGAACGCUGGCGGCAGGCCUAACACAUGCAAGUCGAACGGUAACAGGAAGCAGCUUGCUGCUUUGCUGACGAGUGGCGGACGGGUGAGUAAUGUCUGGGAAACAGCCUGAUGGAGGGGGAUAACUACUGGAAACGGUAGCUAAUACCGCAUAACGUCGCAAGACCAAAGAGGGGGACCUUCGGGCCUCUUGCCAUCGGAUGUGCCCAGAUGGGAUUAGCUAGUAGGUGGGGUAACGGCUCACCUAGGCGACGAUCCCUAGCUGGUCUGAGAGGAUGACCAGCCACACUGGAACUGAGACACGGUCCAGACUCCUACGGGAGGCAGCAGUGGGGAAUAUUGCACAAUGGGCGCAAGCCUGAUGCAGCCAUGCCGCGUGUAUGAAGAAGGCCUUCGGGUUGUAAAGUACUUUCAGCGGGGAGGAAGGGAGUAAAGUUAAUACCUUUGCUCAUUGACGUUACCCGCAGAAGAAGCACCGGCUAACUCCGUG
rnacentral:rRNA from 1 species